AUGAAGGCCUUCGGGUUGUAAACUCCUGUCACGAGUUAAGAAUUGCCCUGCGUUAAUAGCGUUGGGUUUGACGUAAGCUCGAGAGGAAGCACUGGCUAACUCUGUGCCAGCAGCCGCGGUAAUACAGAGAGUGCAAACGUUGUUCGGAAUCACUGGGCUUAAAGCGCGCAUAGGCGGCAUUGUAAGUGUCGGGUGAAAGCCCACGGCUCACCCGUGGAACUGCCCGGCAGACUGCAGUGCUCGAGUGUGGUAGGGGAGAGCGGAACUCCUGGUGGAGCGGUGAAAUGCGUAGAUAUCAGGAGGAACACCGGUAGCGAAGGCGGCUCUCUGGUCCACAACUGACGCUGAGGUGCGAAAGCCAGGGUAGCGAACGGGAUUAGAUACCCCGGUAGUCCUGGCCGUAAACGAUGGGCACUAGCUUGGGGUCUCCCUGUGUGAUCCCAGGUGAAGCAAAAGUACUAAGUGCCCCGCCUGGGGAGUAUGGUCGCAAGGCUG
rnacentral:rRNA from 1 species